rnacentral:rRNA from 1 species
GUAGGGUGCAAGCGUUGUCCGGAAUCACUGGGUGUAAAGGGAGCGCAGGCGGGAAGACAAGUUGGAAGUGAAAACCAUGGGCUCAACCCAUGAAUUGCUUUCAAAACUGUUUUUCUUGAGUAGUGCAUAGGUAGAUGGAAUUCCCGGUGUAGCGGUGGAAUGCGUAGAUAUCGGGAGGAACACCAGUGGCGAAGGCGGUCUACUGGGCACCAACUGACGCUGAGGCUCGAAAGCAUGGGUAGCAAACAGGAUUAGAUACCCUGGUAGUCCAUGCCGUAAACGAUGAUUACUAGGUGUUGGGGGAUUGACCCCCUCAGUGCCGNANUUAACACAAUAAGUAAUCCACCUGGNGAGU